rnacentral:rRNA from 1 species
UACGAAGGGGGCUAGCGUUGCUCGGAAUCACUGGGCGUAAAGGGUGCGUAGGCGGGUCUUUAAGUCAGGGGUGAAAUCCUGGAGCUCAACUCCAGAACUGCCUUUGAUACUGGCAACCUUGAGUCCGGGAGAGGUGAGUGGAACUGCGAGUGUAGAGGUGAAAAUUCGUAGAUAUUCGCAAGAACACCAGUGGCGAAGGCGGCUCACUGGCCCGGUACUGACGCUGAGGUGCGAAAGCGUGGGGGAGCAAACAGG